GAAGUUGCAGGGAAGAGAAUAGGACGCACGAGGUUGCGGAGAAGGUGGGGAAGAAAGAGAAUGGCAAAGCUGAGGGAGCUGGAAGGCGGAGGCUGAGGUGGAAAGAGAUGGUUGCAGUAGCUGAGGAUAGGUUGCAGCGAGAGGAGGACGGGAGUUGCAGGCGGGAAAGGGGCAGCAACAGAAUGGCGGAGGUUGCUGGUAGGAAGAAGAGGAAGCAGGGAGAAAAGAUGGUGGGUAUGAUAGAGGAUUUUGGAGAGGUGCGGAUUGGUGCAACCGAAGUGGAAAGCGGUGGUGGCAGCUGGAUACGGCAGAGGUGGGAUGAGAUGGUGGCAGCGAUAGGUGCAGCAAGGUGGCGGAAAUAGGGGCGAAAGAUGGAGGCGGAGGAUGGAGUAGCAGAGAGGAAAAGGGGGCAGCAGCAGAAGCUAGCCGGAGGUGACUGAGAAUUAGAGGGGAGAGCGAGUGGUGGCUGCAACUGCAACUUAAUCUUAGAUGGUGGACACGGUUGAAUCUGGUUGUAGGUUGUGAUGGGCCAUGGCUGAAGUUAAUGGAGAAAGAUGGGGCCUAGUUGCAGGCGGGUGGCAGAGAGAAGAGAGAAAGAGGCGAAGAGAGAGCAAGAUGACUCAAGAGAGAGGAGGCAAGACUGGGUUUUGUUUUCUUUUUCUUUUCUUUCUUAGAGAGGAGACAAGAGAUGAGAGGAUGGGUGAUGAAAACUUCAGCACCGGGGAUGGCAACAGAGGUCGUGGUUGUGAGAGUUCAGUAGCAAAGGUGGGACACGACAUUAGGAAGCGGAGGACCGGGGAAGUUGGGUGAAUCAUGGGAGAAAAUGGGAUGGGGCCUCAUGGUUAGGUGU
rnacentral:lncRNA from 1 species